AGCACAGGUUGUGGAGCGGUGAAACACCGCUUCCCAUUCAUUUCAUUGGAGGGGAAGCGGAGAGUGCGGGGGACCGUUGGGCGGUGCGAAGGUGGCGUGGGAGGCAGUGGAAAAAGAUCAACUUUACCCAACAUUGUGCAAAUCACCAGCGCGACCGCUGGACGAUGACCAAUCAUAUCGAGUGGUUGCCAUGACGAAUUAGAUGCUAUGCGACCCAAGGCUGGAGACUUUCUUCAGCAAAGAUGGCUGACAAAAAUACUACGAUGGAAGCAAAUGGACUCCUGAAACAACCAGCAAACCAGGCUGUCGUCUUGUGGAAACAGUGGAUGUAAAAAAUCUAGCUAGCUAAAGCAUUUACUACAAAUUUAGUGUACAAUUGUGCAAGCUUGCCUUGCUGAUAUUUGCCAUGCAAUGCAGAUGGAUGAAAUAACGUAGCUAGCUAUGUUCUUGCUUAUUGUUCAGUGGAGGAUAACAAUACCGGUAUGCCUACGGAUGUGUAGCUAACGUUAGCGUUCUAGCCGAUCGGUCUAUGGACCCAAACGUUUGGCAUACAUAUUAGUUCAGAACCUAGCUAUGAACCUUAGCUAUCAUAGCCAGUUGUAUCAAAUUCAAAACAGUCUGAAUGACAUUAAUGAAGCCUAUGGAUUGAGUAGAAUAUAAUAUAACUUUGUUCCAAG